rnacentral:rRNA from 1 species
AACGAACGCUGGCGGCGUGUUUAAGACAUGCAAGUCGCACGGGAUAAGACAUGUAGUAAUACUUGUUUUAUUUAGUGGCGCACGGGUGAGUAACACGUGAAUUACAUGCCCUAUAGUGGGGAAUAGCCCAGGGAAACUUGGAUUAAUACCCCAUGGUAUCGAAAGAUUAAAGGUGGCCGCAAGGCUGUCGCUAUAGGAUUGGUUCGCGCCCUAUCAGCUUGUUGGUGAGGUAACGGAUCACCAAGGCAAUGACGGGUACCUGGUCUGAGAGGACGAUCAGGCACACUGGAACUGAGACACGGUCCAGACACCUACGGGUGGCAGCAGUCGAGAAUAAUUCACAAUGGGGGCAACCCUGAUGGUGCAACGCCGCGUGGAGGAUGACGGUCUUCGGAUUGUAGACUCCUGUCAUCUGGGAGAAAGACCUGACGGUAAAUAGCCGGCAGGGUUGAUAGUACCAGAAGAGGAAGGGACGGCUAACUUCGUGCCAGCCGCCGCGGUAA